ACCAGGAUUAUCAUAUAUUUUUCUUUCUCUAUAACAAUUCCAUUCGUACGUGAAAUGCCUCAUGGAAUUUUGUUGUGUAGUAAUGAGACUUGUAUCUUUUCUUUCUCCCUGAAGAAGGAUAAACAUCCAAAACGUUGUUUCUUUUCUCUCCCAGGCGUAAAAUGUAUUCUAACCUUUGAUCUAUUUGUACAAUCAGAACGCUACAAGUUCCAACAAAUUAUAUUAUUUCGCCGAUUAGGACUAUGUCAAUGUGUUAUGUGCACAUUCUGUCCACUAAUAAUUUAAAACCCUAGAUAUUAGGUCUUUAAAAAAGAAAUCGUUCUCAGUCGCAGUUCAAGUGUCCACUUGUGUUAUACUAACAGUUUUUGUGAAUGCUUGGUCGUAUUUACUGAAAAAUAUAUCUCUGUAUUAAACUUCUGCAUCACUAACGUUUAUGAGAAAGUACCGAAUUAUCACGAAUGUGUUGUCACCAAUUUUGUAAGUUACUAACAUAUUAAUAGGAUGUAACGAAUCCUCUGUUGAUAUAUUUUUUAAUGAAAAAAAAUCCUGUAAUUAUUUUUUAAUGUUUUCUAUUGUGUUGUAUUUACGUGUUAUAUUUUCACAAAUACACACACUAUAAAUAUUAUUUUUUAUGAAAACAAUAAAAUGAUCGAAAUAAAACUAUUUCAUUCCAUAUAUACAUCCGUACUUUACAAACUCUCUGCUAAACAAGUGUGUUUGACGUCACUUCCUCUAAUCUCAUGCGCACUCGUAUUCUGCGCAUUACCAGCAGAAGGCCGACCGAACGGAAGGAUGGUAUUGUCUUUUACUUAAUGUUUUAGUAAUUUCCAACAGAUUCACUUUUCUUAGAUGCAUAUUGUCUAUAUAAGAACAGCGAAAAUAAAUGUCUGCUUGAAUGUAAUUUACCAUUUGUUGGAUGCCCACUAGUCGUUUUAUAACGGCAACAACAGAACAAGGAAGAUGUGAAUAUAUGUCAUUGCCUCGUUAUAGUGACAGACAGGCAGAGCAGAGAGAAUCCUUAUCCAUCAAGUAUUAUAAGAAAAGAAUACGUAGGAAAGCCCAAUACUGAAGGCUCUUCACCACACACUCAGACUAUGACUUAUGUAUAAUAUAAUUUUGAUUUUCGGUUCCCAGAAUUAUAAUUGUCACUAAAAAUGCCGAUUAAUUAAAAAGACUAAAUUAACGUCCAGCUUCCAUCGUCACCAACCAUAUCAUCAAUGAGAAGGCGGAUAAUAGUGGCAUUUUCACUACACAGCUACCUGUCUAAUAAGCAUUAUGAAACCGGAUCCCUAUAAACAAAAGAGUAAACAAGAAAACAGACUUACAAAAUGAACCAAGAAUUAUUAUAAAAUAUAAAAAUGCAUAGAAUUAUUAAAUAAUUGUUUUUUUUUUCAUCAGUUACAAAAAAAAAAAAAGAAUGCAGAUUUCGCUACAUCGAAAGAAAUUUGAGUAUGUACCUAAUACAGAAAAAAACCCAUAAACAGCUGUACAGAGAUUAAAAGAAAUCGAUAAUAUAUCUUACGAAAAUUACAUGAAAUAUUUUUAUCAUGUCUUUGAAGAGAACCUACUUUUCUUUAUUUUUCUGUAUGUAGGUGUGAUUUUGUAAAAAGAAUAACGAGAGCAUUCGAACAGUAUUGAGUUUUAUACAUCACAUCAAAAUUAAAUUGUGUAAAUCCGAGGAAACUAAGACAUGAAAUUUGGCAUAAAAUAUAAAAUGUUUUUUGUAUUUGUAUUUUUAUCACAUGAAUUAUUCUUAACAGCGCAAUGCAAUCAUUUUCAUGAUUUAAUCUCAAAGUUACAACAGUUGAAGUUAAGUGGUAAUUCCCUGUGUUAAAGUAUGCUCCUCAUAUACCAACGGAUUUUCCUUGAAGUUGGCAUCUCUAACUCCUCGACUAAAAUUUGAAACACUUAUCACUCAAUUAUCUAUCUUUAUCAUAUUGAUGUCAUUCUAUUUUUAUUUCUUACUUAAUUUUUUUUUUUUUAAUUCCUCUGGUUUCUUCAUUCUGAAUGAAACUUAAACAAUGAGUUCAAGAAAAGGAAAAUCUCGAGACGGAAGCAAAUCCCGCGAAAAUGCUGCUGCCGCAGAAAGGUUAGCUGAUUACACAGGAGUAAGCACAGUGCUUGCCGGUCACAGCAGUGGCGGUGCUGGUUAUUGCAGUAAUUUAAGUGUUGUUGGUGGUAACAGUACUAGCAAUCCGAAUAGUGCUGCUACUUCUAGCAUUACUGGAAGCACCAUUCAAAAUAUUAGUUGCGGUGCUAGUGUCAUUUGUGGUACAACUCUAACUACUAUAGCACCGAGUGGCUCACCCGAUCAUGAAGGUUCGGUUUCAAGUUCUAAUCCAAGCCCUUCUGGUUUGGAAACUAGUAGGGAAGAACUUCCAGCCGGAAUGGAUUCAGCAACUCUUAAGGAUAAUCAAAAAGAUCUUGUCAAGGAGCAAAAAUGUAGUU